CUAAGAUAUCUACGAUUUUUUCCAUCUCAAGUACUCAAGAUUUCGUUUUUAUUUUAUUUAUUUAUGGCUCUUAACAUAAUUUAUCAGAAUGUUUAAGGGCUGCGAACGAAAUUAAGAACCUUUUGGCAAAUAGUCCAGAUAUUAUCUGUAUCACAGAAACAUGACUUAAUUCCUUUAUUAUGCAUAAUAAACUCGUAGAUCUUAGCACAUAAUAAGCAGUUUUUUUGUAGGGAUAACGUAUUUAUUGCCAGUCAAAAACUUGAUAUCUGGAUAUGUGCUAAGCUAGAAGGUAACAGAUCUUUAUUUGUAUAGUGUUUCAUCUAUCAAGAGGCUUUAAGUACCAAAUAAUCUUUAUUUAGGCCCUUACAAUAUAGACCAACAAAAUUCUGCUUUAAUUCUGAAUUUGGCAUUUUUCAACAUGGGGCAAUUUAAUACAGUUUUUAACAGUGACAAUAAUCUUUUAGAUCUGGUAUAUUCCAACAAAUUAAAUGUAUGUAAACAACUAAGAAUACAAUAAAAAAAUAAUAAAAUUUGAUUUUAAAAAUUACAUUCAAAGUAUAAAAAAAGAUUUAGCUAAUAAUGUUAACUGUUUUUGGAGUUUUUAGUUCAAUACCUAAUGAAAUUUUCUUCAAAAACAAGACAGCUAUAAUAUCUAAUCUCUGUAAAAAUUGUUUUUCUAGUGUUUUCGAACUGUAAAUAUAUUAUAUGGAUAUUAAGUAAGUUGCUUCAUGUAAUAAUAUCUAACUUAAUAGUCUCACCCUAAGCUACCGGGCUCUAAAUGCUCUAAGAUCCUUAAAUGUUACAAAAAAAGGCAGAUCCCAAGAACAGUCACAGGAAAUGUUAAGAGAAACGUUACUAAUUAUAGGCCCAUAAGUAAACGGUCUUUACUGGCUAAGCUUCUUCAAAAGUGACGUUACGAUUACCCUUUAAUUCUUUCAAACAAAUUUAUUGGUGUAUAGCAGCAUGGCUUUUACAAGGGAAGAUCUAUUGAUACUAACAUUAACCUUCUUGUUUCGCAGAGUAUUUUUAUGAGCUUAUGGAUAACUGGUCUCAGGUCGAUGCCAUAUCUACAUUGAUUUUAUUAAAGCAUUUAAGGACAAGAUUAGCCAUGUUAUUCUCGUGGCUGGACUUGCAGAGAUCGUCGCGGGUGGCAGCGUCUUAAGAUGGAUGGAAUCUUAAAAGGCGAUCCAUGUAGGUCUCAUUUCAAAGAUGUUGUCCUGUGAGUCUUUAAUUCCGUCAUUUGGUUUUCCACAGGGCUCGCAUUUAGGAUCUUUUUUUUCUGCUCCCCACCAAAAAAAAAAAUUAUUCGGGUCCUAUUUUCAGCUUUGCCACCUUACCCCCUAAGUGGGGGUUAGAUUCACCCCCAAUAUGUUAAAUGGAAAGGGGUAUCGACUGAUACUCUAUUUUUAAGGUCUUUUGAGCUUGAGUAAAACUGUCAAGUUUGAGACCUCUACUGCCAUUCCUGUUGAAAUGACUUAAAAUGCCUAGUAGAUUAGCUAUUUUUUUAAUUUAAUUUAAUCUCAGAAAUUAGCCGCUUUAAACUUUGAGACUAAUAAUGAGGGUCAGAAGAUGUUUAAAAUAAGAUGGUAAUGGAGUUUAACACAGACAAUCGCAAAAUAAAUACGAUUACAAGGAAUCAUUUUAAAAAUAUGUUCUAAUUUAAAAAGGAGCAAUUUUUUGCUAGAGUAACAUUCAGGUUGAGAUAGAAACAAGAAACUUUUUGUGAUUUUUUAAUAAUACUAAAUGUAAUUAAUAUGCAAUCGAUCUUCAAAUUCCUCUUGAACCCUAUUAAAUGUAUGUGUUAGGUGACGGCUUUCAACUACUAUUCAUUGUCUUAAAUUCUCAACUGAUUCUGACUGCGUCUUAUAAACAUUUAGGUGUCAAAGAAAGAAGUCCAACGGUGUUAAAUUAGUGGAUCGUGCCGACCAGUCUAUUGGGCCUCUCCUCCCAAUCCAUCGAGCAGGAAAAGUAAUAUCUAGAAAAUCUUUUAUAGGGCGAGCGUAGUAAGGAGGUGCUCCAUCUUAUAGAAAGACUAACUUAUCUUCGACUAAAUUCGGUUCGUUUUCUAAACUCGCCAUCUGGAGAUAGGUGACAUUCUCAAGUAAAUUUAAAUAAAUUUCAUCAUUUAAGUUGGCCUGUAUCAAAAAAGGUCCAACAAUGUGAUUGCUUGCGUAAUACCCACGUACACGUUUAGUUUUAAAGAACGCUGGGUAUGUGUUACAUGGAUUAAAUGAAGGAUGGAUUACUCUCGCUCCAGUACCGGCAGUUGUGACCGUUUACUUCUCCAUGCAAGCAAACAUUGUCCCUACAAUGACAAGUUAUGGUUGUUUAAUUUUUCCGAAAUAUUUUCAGAAAACUCUACUUUGCGAUCAAAGUCAUCUUCGUUCGUUUCCUGAACCAACUGACAUUUGUAGGAUCGAAACUUAUGUGAUGUCAAAAUUCGGUGAACGCUGCUUCGGGACACACCUGAAAUAAUAGCAAUGUCUCUGAGUGAGUUGGGACCAAAGCAGCAAGGCCAAGGACUCAACCCGUAAGUCAAAUCAAAAAAUAAAACGCGAUUUUGUAUAAUUUUGGAGCAGCCUCGGAAUCGCAAUAUUUUGGUAAUAAAAUGAUAAGGUUUAUAUUUUCAAUAUUUAAUAUUACACUUUUUUUACCUAUUAUAGAAUAUUUCUUCCAGUGUUCCUCUAGUAAUUCAAAGGGAUAAAAUGACUUGGCUUCUAUUCCAAAAUCACUGAGAUUUUCACAUAACGCCUCAUAAUAAGACCUUAAAUAACUUUUGUAAUUGUGUAAAUCUGCUUUGCCAGCAGUAAUAAAGAAGAAAUAGCUUAUGUCGUGUACGGGAUGACUAACUGCCGACGUUUGCCAAUCAAUAAUACUGAUGUCCGUAGGUAGGUAAGGCUUAGAUUCAUCCUAAAAAUUA